CAGGCCUAACACAUGCAAGUCGAAUGGUAGCAAUACCAUGGCGAACGGGUGAGUAACACGUAGGUAACCUGUCUUUAUGCCGAGGAUAGCUAUUGGAAACGAUGGAUAAUACUGGAUAGGACAUAUGAAGGCAUCUUUAGAUGUUUAAAGAUUUAUCACAUAGAGAGGGGCCUGCGGCGCAUUAGCUAGUUGGUGGGGUGAAGGCCUACCAAGGCGAUGAUGCGUAGCCGGACUGAGAGGUUGAACGGCCACAAUGGAACUGAGAACGGUCCAUACUCCUACGGGAGGCAGCAGUAGGGAAUUUUCGGCAAUGGACGGAAGUCUGACCGAGCAACGCCGCGUGAACGAAGAAGUAUUUCGGUAUGUAAAGUUCUUUUAUUAGGGACGAAAAGACAGAUUGACGGUACCUAAUGAAUAAGCUCCGGCUAACUACGUGCCAGCAGCCGCGGUAAUACGUAGGGAGCGAGCGUUAUCCGGAAUUAUUGGGCGUAAAGGGUGCGUAGACGGCAAUACAAGUCUUUUGUUAAAGUGCUAAGCUCAACUUAGUGAUGCAAAAGAUACUGUAUAGCUAGAGUAUGGAAGAGGCAAGUGGAACUCCAUGUGUAGCGGUAAAAUGCGUAAAUAUAUGGAAGAACGCCAGUGGCGAAGGCGGCUUGCUGGUCCGAUACUGACGUUGAGGCACGAAAGCGUGGGGAGCAAACAGGAUUAGAUACCCUGGUAGUCCACGCCCUAAACGAUGAGUACUAAGUGUUGGUGAGAAAUCAGUGCCGAAGUUAACGCAUUAAGUACUCCGCCUGAGUAGUACGUACGCAAGUAUGAAACUUAAAGGAAUUGACGGGAGCCCGCACAAGCGGUGGAGCAUGUUGUUUAAUUCGACGAUACGCGAAGAACCUUACCAGGGCUUGACAUCCUACUAACGAGAUAGAGAUAUGUUAGGUGCCCUUCGGGGAAAGUAGAGACAGGUGGUGCAUGGUUGUCGUCAGCUCGUGUCGUGAGAUGUUGGGUUAAGUCCCGCAACGAGCGCAACCCUUACCUUUAGUUGCUACGCAAGAGCACUCUAAAGGGACUGCCGUUGACAAAACGGAGGAAGGUGGGGAUGACGUCAAAUCAUCAUGCCCCUUAUGACCUGGGCUACACACGUACUACAAUGGCAAUCAACAAAGAGAAGCAAGACAGUGAUGUGGAGCGAAUCUCAAAAAAUUGUCCCAGUUCAGAUUGCAGGCUGCAACUCGCCUGCAUGAAGUCGGAAUUGCUAGUAAUCGUGGAUCAGCAUGCCACGGUGAAUACGUUCCCGG
rnacentral:rRNA from 1 species